rnacentral:tRNA from 1 species
AGGGCUUUAGCCAAGCGGUAAGGCAACGGACUUUGACUCCGUCAUUCACUAGUUCGAAUCUAGUAAGCCCUG